GAAAAAGCUAUGAGAAGAUAAGUAACAGUUUUAAUCGUCCCCAGAGAGUUUGUGUCGCUGAAAACAAAUGUCGAUUAGCUGUGAAGAUGGUCUUUGAGCAAAAAUAUAACCGAGCUUUAAAUAAAGCUAAGUUAUAUUGGUAGGCGCCCAUUAACGUGCUGAGAUAAGGUUUUCAAAUUAAGUUACCCAACUUAAAAACCUUACCUCCGGAGUUGAUCAAUGUGAAUUGAUCAAAAAUUAAGGUGGCACCGCGAUUAAUCGUCCUUGGA
rnacentral:ncRNA from 1 species